rnacentral:tRNA from 1 species
GCCUGGGUGGCUCAGUCGGUUAAGUAUCUGACUUCGGCUCAGGUCAUGAUCUCACGGUUUGUUGGUUCGAGACCCACAUCAGGCU